AGCAAUGUGUGUGGGUUAUGGCCAGAUGUUUGUGUUUUCAAGACUCUGCAGUUCGUGAGCUAGGUGGAUUUAGUUUAAGUUGCCAGGAGGCUUUGUGUUUGUGGACUCUGAACAUCUGGUUAUCUGUUUGAUGGACUACUUGGCCAUUGCCUGGAAGUUUAGUCUGGGGCUUAUUCAUGGCUGGAUUCACUUGGAAACGACCCUCUGAAUUCCUGUCCUGGGCUGUUCCUGUGAAUUCUACUUGUAAACUCUGAAACUCUGACCAUUGGACUGACUGACAAACCUAAUUGGAGGCUCCAAACCUCAGACUGGAUGUUGGCUUCUCUUUUGAAACUACCCAGCAAAGCUUUUAUUUCCGAGACUGUUUUGAGUUUGCCAUAUGUUCUAAUCUAGCAGCUGUGGGUAAGCUGAAACCUGAAACAGAAUUGCUAGGGGAAAGACAAAAUAAAGUUCUCUCUAACCAAUACUGACGUGUGGGUGCCUUUGCUGAUUUUGGCAGCACUAAUGAUAUUGAGUCAUUAGCUCCUGGGCUCAAAGAGAUGGUUUCAACUGCAAAGGAUCCUGAACCACAUUGGUUGCUCCUGCAGAUGACCUGAAAUGAGACACUUGAAAAGAGUUAUGUUGGAAGAAAAGGACUCCGGUUCGUUUCUUCUAGCCGGGAUGAUGAGAUCGGCGUUGAUGAACAAAAUGAGAAGUGGCGAAGCGAGCUGCUGGGAAAGGAGGUUUUAUUCCAGAAGUCAGAGACUGCAGUGACAAUAGCGUUGGGUUCUGGGUCAGCUGGCAACUUGGAAGGGAAGAUUUGAAUUGGUGAUACCCACUUUCCCAAUAAGACAACAGCUGCAAAGGAGAACCGGAAGCGUCACAGUGAGACUUGCUGGAAAAUAGCAGACUGAUGAGCCCUGUGAAAAUCCAGCCAGACAAACCGCUGUCAGGGAUUCUUCGGACCAGAUCUGUCUUGUAAGGAUGGUGAAGAAGAAGAGGCACCUCAAAUGACCAAGAGGAACAGACAAGUUCCUCGGAAGUUGGAGA